AUUUAAAAAUUUAAUUUGUUAAAUUUUAUAAUUUGAAGAUUAAAACUUGUAAUUUAACAUUUAAAAUUUUUAAAUUUUUAAAUUUAAAUUUUAAAAUUUCAAAAUGUCAAAUUUUAAAUUUAAUCUUUAAGUUGAAAUUUUAAAAUUUGAAAAUUUAAAAUCUAAAAUUUGAGAUUUGAAAUUUAAAAUUAAAAGUUUGAAAUCUAAUUUUCAAAUUUUGAAUUUUGAAAGUUAAAAUUUAAAAUUAAAAUUAAAUUUAAACGUUGAAUUGAAAAUGAAAAUAAAAAUUUAGAAAUUUGAGUCCAAAAUCAGAAUGAGAUGUCUGGAAGCAGCUUUUUCCUACUUCUGAUUCUGGAACUUUCAAAAUUAGUUUUGUGAUUUUGAAUUAGAUUUUAAAAAUGAGGUUGCCAAACGCUUUAUUGGGCAGAAAAUCACUUUUCAAUCCAAAAACCCUUUUUAAAAAUUAGGCCAAACACCUCUAAGUUUAUCGAAUAUUUACCUUAGUACCUUUUAGUUUUAACUUUGUCACUGAUUAUUUUUUCUCUGUUAAUAUUUCAUUAAAUUAUAUAAAAAAAAUUUCAGAUACCUACUUAGAUUUAUCAAAUAUUUACUUUAGUUCUUUUAGUUUUAAUUUUGUUACUGAUUUAACGAAAAAAAAAUAGUAAAAUGGAUAAUAAAAAGAGAAAAAUGAAAUCAUAGAGUACUAACUUGAUACACUUUAAACCACAUGGUACUAAAGUGAGAAAGUGUUAAACCAUAUAUAUAGGGGCUAACUUGAUACACUUUAGACUCUAGGUUAUUAAAAUGAGAAAGUGUGAAACACAGGGUAUUUGAAGUUUGUCCUAUUAAUUUUUCCUACCUCUAUUAUUAUUUUAAAAUUUAAAAAUUUUAAAUUUUAAAUUUUAAAUUUUAAAUUUUAAAUUUUAAAUUUNAAAAUUAAAGUUAUAAUUUUAAAUUCUAAAUUUAAAAUUUAAAAUUUGAUAUUUUAAAUUUUUAAAAUUUAAAAUUUUAUAUUUUAUAUUUUUAAAUUUAAAUUUGAUCUUAAAUUUAAAGUGAAAUUCAAAAUUUGAAAUUAAAAUAUAAUGAUAGGAGUAAUAUCAUUAUUUUUAUUUAUAACUAUUCAUUAUUUUUCUUAUUCUAACUUAUCUAUCUAUGGAAACACUAUUUUUUCUGAAGUUUGGGAGUAACUUAAUUUUUGUUCAAAUGUAAAAUUAAUGUAGUUGUUAUUUAUACCUGAAUUUAUAUAUAUUUCUGUAAUAGACAGAUAUUGUUUAUACUCAAACCACACAGUACCUUAUCUUACGCUGUUAGAUUUUUCUUAAAAAAAA
rnacentral:lncRNA from 1 species